rnacentral:rRNA from 1 species
GAUGAACGCUAGCGGCAGGCCUAACACAUGCAAGUCGAGGGGUAGAACACUUCGGUGUUUGAGACCGGCGCACGGGUGCGUAACGCGUAUGCAAUCUACCUUAUACAGGGGAAUAGCCCAGAGAAAUCUGGAUUAAUGCCCCAUAGCAUUACGACUUGGCAUCAAGAUGUAAUUAAAGUUCCAACGGUAUAAGAUGAGCAUGCGUCCCAUUAGUUAGUUGGCAAGGUAACGGCUUACCAAGACGAUGAUGGGUAGGGGUCCUGAGAGGGAGAUCCCCCACACUGGUACUGAGACACGGACCAGACUCCUACGGGAGGCAGCAGUGAGGAAUAUUGGUCAAUGGUCGCAAGACUGAACCAGCCAUGCCGCGUGCAGGAAGACGGUCCUAUGGAUUGUAAACUGCUUUUAUACAGGAAGAAACCCUCCCACGUGUGGGAGCUUGACGGUACUGUAGGAAUAAGGAUCGGCUAACUCCGUGCCAGCAGCCGCCGUAA